rnacentral:tRNA from 1 species
GCGACGUUGGCUCAGUGGUAGUGCACGAGCCUUGAGAUCUCGGGGAUGUUAGGUCAAAUCACCAUCGUCGCU